GGUAGCGUGGCCGAGUGGUCUAAGGCACUGGUUUCAGGCACCAGUCUCUUCGGAGACACGGGUUCGACCCCCGCCGCUACCA